CACGUAGGGGGCGAGCGUUGUCCGGAUUUAUUGGGCGGAAAGAGCUCGUAGGCGGUCUGUUGCGUCGGCUGUGAAAACCCGGGGCUCAACCCCGGGCCUGCAGCCGAUACGGGCAGACUAGAGUUCGGCAGGGGAGACUGGAAUUCCUGGUGUAGCGGUGAAAUGCGCAGAUAUCAGGAGGAACACCGGUGGCGAAGGCGGGUCUCUGGGCCGAUACUGACGCUGAGGAGCGAAAGCGUGGUGAGCGAACAGG
rnacentral:rRNA from 1 species